GGUUAAGCGACUAAGCGUACACGGUGGAUGCCCUGGCAGUCAGAGGCGAUGAAGGACGUGCUAAUCUGCGAAAAGCGUCGGUAAGGUGAUAUGAACCGUUAUAACCGGCGAUGUCCGAAUGGGGAAACCCAGUGCAAUUCGUUGCACUAUCGUUAACUGAAUACAUAGGUUAACGAGGCGAACCGGGGGAACUGAAACAUCUAAGUACCCCGAGGAAAAGAAAUCAACCGAGAUUCCCCCAGUAGCGGCGAGCGAACGGGGAGCAGCCCAGAGUCUGAAUCAGCUUGUGUGUUAGUGGAACGGUCUGGAAAGUCCGACGGUACAGGGUGAUAGUCCCGUACACCAAAAUGCACAGGUUGUGAACUCGAAGAGUAGGGCGGGACACGUGGUAUCCUGUCUGAAUAUGGGGGGACCAUCCUCCAAGGCUAAAUACUCCUGACUGACCGAUAGUGAACCAGUACCGUGAGGGAAAGGCGAAAAGAACCCCGGCGAGGGGAGUGAAAAAGAACCUGAAACCGUGUACGUACAAGCAGUGGGAGCACCUUCGGGUGUGACUGCGUACCUUUUGUAUAAUGGGUCAGCGACUUAUAUUCUGUAGCAAGGUUAACCGUAUAGGGGAGCCGCAGGGAAACCGAGUCUUAACUGGGCGUUAAGUUGCAGGGUAUAGACCCGAAACCCGGUGAUCUAGCCAUGGGCAGGUUGAAGGUUGGGUAACACUAACUGGAGGACCGAACCGACUAAUGUUGAAAAAUUAGCGGAUGACUUGUGGCUGGGGGUGAAAGGCCAAUCAAACCGGGAGAUAGCUGGUUCUCCCCGAAAGCUAUUUAGGUAGCGCCUCGUGAACUCAUCUUCGGGGGUAGAGCACUGUUUCGGCUAGGGGGUCAUCCCGACUUACCAACCCGAUGCAAACUACGAAUACCGAAGAAUGUUAUCACGGGAGACACACGGCGGGUGCUAACGUCCGUCGUGAAGAGGGAAACAACCCAGACCGCCAGCUAAGGUCCCAAAGUCAUGGUUAAGUGGGAAACGAUGUGGGAAGGCACAGACAGCCAGGAUGUUGGCUUAGAAGCAGCCAUCAUUUAAAGAAAGCGUAAUAGCUCACUGGUCGAGUCGGCCUGCGCGGAAGAUGUAACGGGGCUAAACCAUGCACCGAAGCUGCGGCAGCGACACUAUGUGUUGUUGGGUAGGGGAGCGUUCUGUAAGCCUGCGAAGGUGACCUGUGAGGGUUGCUGGAGGUAUCAGAAGUGCGAAUGCUGACAUAAGUAACGAUAAAGCGGGUGAAAAGCCCGCUCGCCGGAAGACCAAGGGUUCCUGUCCAACGUUAAUCGGGGCAGGGUGAGUCGACCCCUAAGGCGAGGCCGAAAGGCGUAGUCGAUGGGAAACAGGUUAAUAUUCCUGUACUUGGUGUUACUGCGAAGGGGGGACGGAGAAGGCUAUGUUAGCCGGGCGACGGUUGUCCCGGUUUAAGCAUGUAGGCUGGUUAUCCAGGCAAAUCCGGAUAAUCAAGGCUGAGGUGUGAUGACGAGGCACUACGGUGCUGAAGUAACAAAUGCCCUGCUUCCAGGAAAAGCCUCUAAGCAUCAGGUAACAUCAAAUCGUACCCCAAACCGACACAGGUGGUCAGGUAGAGAAUACCAAGGCGCUUGAGAGAACUCGGGUGAAGGAACUAGGCAAAAUGGUGCCGUAACUUCGGGAGAAGGCACGCUGGUGUGUAGGUGAAGUCCCUGCGGAUGGAGCUGAGACCAGUCGAAGAUACCAGCUGGCUGCAACUGUUUAUUAAAAACACAGCACUGUGCAAACACGAAAGUGGACGUAUACGGUGUGACGCCUGCCCGGUGCCGGAAGGUUAAUUGAUGGGGUUAUCCGUAAGGAGAAGCUCUUGAUCGAAGCCCCGGUAAACGGCGGCCGUAACUAUAACGGUCCUAAGGUAGCGAAAUUCCUUGUCGGGUAAGUUCCGACCUGCACGAAUGGCGUAAUGAUGGCCAGGCUGUCUCCACCCGAGACUCAGUGAAAUUGAACUCGCUGUGAAGAUGCAGUGUACCCGCGGCAAGACGGAAAGACCCCGUGAACCUUUACUAUAGCUUGACACUGAACAUUGAGCCUUGAUGUGUAGGAUAGGUGGGAGGCUUUGAAGCGUGGACGCCAGUCUGCGUGGAGCCAACCUUGAAAUACCACCCUUUAAUGUUUGAUGUUCUAACGUUGGCCCCUGACCGGGGUUGCGGACAGUGUCUGGUGGGUAGUUUGACUGGGGCGGUCUCCUCCCAAAGCGUAACGGAGGAGCACGAAGGUUAGCUAAUCCUGGUCGGACAUCAGGAGGUUAGUGCAAUGGCAUAAGCUAGCUUGACUGCGAGCGUGACGGCGCGAGCAGGUGCGAAAGCAGGUCAUAGUGAUCCGGUGGUUCUGAAUGGAAGGGCCAUCGCUCAACGGAUAAAAGGUACUCCGGGGAUAACAGGCUGAUACCGCCCAAGAGUUCAUAUCGACGGCGGUGUUUGGCACCUCGAUGUCGGCUCAUCACAUCCUGGGGCUGAAGUAGGUCCCAAGGGUAUGGCUGUUCGCCAUUUAAAGUGGUACGCGAGCUGGGUUUAGAACGUCGUGAGACAGUUCGGUCCCUAUCUGCCGUGGGCGCUGGAGAAUUGAGGGGGGCUGCUCCUAGUACGAGAGGACCGGAGUGGACGCAUCACUGGUGUUCGGGUUGUCAUGCCAAUGGCACUGCCCGGUAGCUAAAUGCGGAAGAGAUAAGUGCUGAAAGCAUCUAAGCACGAAACUUGCCCCGAGAUGAGUUCUCCCUGAGACUUUAAGUCUCCUGAAGGAACGUUGAAGACGACGACGUUGAUAGGCCGGGUGUGUAAGCGCAGCGAUGCGUUGAGCUAACCGGUACUAAUGAACCGUGAGGCUUAACCUU
rnacentral:rRNA from 1 species